rnacentral:rRNA from 1 species
UACAGAGGGUGCAAGCGUUAUUCGGAAUCACUGGGCGUAAAGAGCUCGUAGGCGGUUAAUUAAGUCAUAUGUGAAAGCCCUGGGCUCAAAUCCAGGAAGUGCAUCUGAUACUGAUUGACUGGAGUGCAGGAGAGGAAAGCGGAAUUCCAGGUGUAGAGGUGAAAUUCGUAGAUAUCUGGAGGAACAACAGAAGCGAAGGCGGCUUUCUGGACUGUCACUGACGCUGAGGAGCGAAAGCGUGGGGAGCAAACAGG